rnacentral:rRNA from 1 species
GACGAACGCUGGCGGCGUGCCUAAUACAUGCAAGUAGAACGCACAGGAUGCACCGUAGUUUACUACACCGUAUUCUGUGAGUUGCGAACGGGUGAGUAACGCGUAGGUAACCUGCCUGGUAGCGGGGGAUAACUAUUGGAAACGAUAGCUAAUACCGUAUAAGAACAUUUACUGCAUGGUAGAUGUUUAAAAGGUGCAAGAGCAUCACUACCAGAUGGACCUGCGUUGUAUUAGCUAGUUGGUGAGGUAACGGCUCACCAAGGCAACGAUACAUAGCCGACCUGAGAGGGUGAUCGGCCACACUGGGACUGAGACACGGCCCAGACUCCUACGGGAGGCAGCAGUAGGGAAUCUUCGGCAAUGGGGGGAACCCUGACCGAGCAACGCCGCGUGAGUGAAGAAGGUUUUCGGAUCGUAAAGCUCUGUUGUUAAGGAAGAACGUGUGUGAGAGUGGAAAGUUCACACAGUGACGGUACUUAACCAGAAAGGGACGGCUAACUACGUGCCAGCAGCCGCGGUAAUACGUAGGUCCCGAGCGUUGUCCGGAUUUAUUGGGCGUAAAGCGAGCGCAGGCGGUUAGAUAAGUCUGAAGUGAAAGGCAGUGGCUCAACCAUUGUAGGCUUUGGAAACUGUUUAACUUGAGUGCAGAAGGGGAGAGUGGAAUUCCAUGUGUAGCGGUGAAAUGCNNAGAUAUAUGGAGGAANNNNGGUGGCGAAAGCGGCUCUCUGGUCUGUAACUGACGCUGAAGCUCGAAAGCGUGGGGAGCGAACAGG